UGAAAAGACUGCAUAUUUAUUUCCCUUCUGGGAACUUCAUGUUCUAUAUUAGCAUAUCUAAGUCUCUAAGGAGCCCUACAGUAACAUUUUUGAGAGCAAAUGGAUUUAACAUUCAUUUGGUCAAAAGUAUUUUCUUUGUUGUUUUGCUUUGUAUUGUUUUCAUGGAAUAUCUUAGUAUCCUAGACCUAACUAGUAUACCAUGAAACAUACCCAGGAAGUAUUAUCAGAGGCCAGGGAUUCCCAAUUGCUUCUCUGCAGAACGGCUGUUCCAGAAUGAGAUUCCACGGUGACCACUAUUUGACAAAUAACAACAAAGAGACACCGACCAAACUUCCACCAGCAACUGUUGGUUGUAGCAUUAGAAAUGGAGAGAUUCAGGAUGUGUUCUGGAGGAAGAAUUUUCAGAGCCUUCUAAUGAAUUCAAAAUGAUGGAGGACAGUGGGUAGAAAGGUUUGGAUGGUGAGAACACUUCCUCCUGGAGGUUGAAUAAGCAGAUU